CUUUCAGCUGACCUUUCCAAACCAUGCUUCGCAAUCAAGCUAGAAAAAGACUAAGCAAGUGAUUUCCUAAUGAAAUGGCGGAUAGUUUAGUAUAACAUUCAUUCCUGACCGCCGCUGCCUGCUUAAGACUAAAAGCUAGUAGUGAGACUUCUAUUCUGCCGCCCUAUCUAGUAAGAGCCUCUAAAGCUAUGUUUGGCGUAAUCAAUAGUUUAGUUGGGCUCGGCUUUACUGAAGAAGAAGGGGCGAAGUCUCAACUACCAGACUACUACUAUACCAAACGCACUCCACGAGUGGAUUAGUUGAGUGACUAGACUGAUACUCUAAACGAGACCAAUACUAUCAAAAAGAAAGUAGCAAAAAGCAUANGGCUAACUCUGUGCCAGCAGCCGCGGUAAUACAUAGGAUACAAGCGUUAUCUGGAAUGAUUGGGCGUAAAGUAUCUGUAGUUGGAUUUUUAAGUUCACCGUCAAAUCCUAAGGCUCAACCAUAGACAGGCGGUGAAAACUACCAAGAUGCAGUACGGUAGGGGCAGAGCAAAUUUCCGGUGGAGCGGUGAAAUACAUAGAGAUCAAAAAGAACACCAAUGGUGAAAGCACUCUGCUGGGACGAUAUUGACACUGAGAGAUGAAACAUAAAGGAGAGAAGGGGAUUAGAUACUCCAGCAGUCCUAGUCAUAAAUAAUGGAUGCUAGGCGCUGUGAGUAUCGACCCGUGUUGUGCUUUAGCUAAUGCGUUAAGUAUCCCACCUGAGGAGUACGUUUGCAAGAAUGAAGCUCAAAGAAAUUGACGGGGGCCCAUACAAGCGGUGGAGCAUGUGGUUUAAUUCGAUACAACGCGCAAAACCUUACCAGCCCUUGACAUAUGAACAAGAAAACCUGUCCUUAACGGGAUGGUACUGACUUUCAUACAGGUGCUGCAUGGCUAUCGUCAGCUCGUGUCGUGAGAUGUUUGGUCAAGUCCUAUAACGAGCGAAACCCUCGUUUUGUGUUGCUGAGACAUGCGCCUAAGGAGAAAGUCUUUGCAACCGAAGUGAGCCGAGGAGCCGAGUGACGUGCCAGCGCUACUAAUUGAGUGCCAGCACCUAGCUGUGCUGUCAGUAAGAAGGUAGCCGGCGCCUUUCGAAGCACUUUCUAUUUCUAGUUAGCGCUCUUUUUUGAUUGCAGCUAGCGCGCUUGACUAAUGACGAUAGAAAGGGCCUUUCUCGCUUGUUUAGUAAAGUCGACGUUUUUGGCCUUAUCUUGCAGGUGACGACGACGUCGAGUUGACGGCAGAGAAAGACUCGGCAUUCAGGCGAGCCACCCGGUGGUGUGGUACGUAGUGGGUUUAGUACGCCCCGCCCAAACAAACGGCUCCGAAACAAACAAAAAGGUGCGUGCCGCACUCACGAAAGACUGCCAGUGAUAUACUGGAGAAAGGUGGGGAUGACGUCAAGUCCGCAUGGCCCUUAUGGGCUGGGCCACACACGUGCUACAAUGGCAAUUACAAUGGGAAGCAAGGCUGUAAGGCGGAGCGAAUCCGGAAAGAUUGCCUCAGUUCGGAUUGUUCUCUGCAACUCGGGAACAUGAAGUUGGAAUCGCUAGUAAUCGCGGAUCAGCAUGCCGCGGUGAAUAUGUACCCGGGCCCUGUACACACCGCCCGUCACACCCUGGGAAUUAGUUUUGCCCGAAGCAUCGGACCAAUGAUCACCCAUGACUUCUGUGGCACAUUAGUGCCACAAAGGCCUUUGGUGGUCUUAUUGGCGCAUACCACGGUGGCUCAAAAAGAAGAAGAAGACGAAAUUGAUGAAUCUGAAAUUACA
rnacentral:rRNA from 1 species